CUCCCAGCAUCUAAAAUUCCUCCUCAUCCUAAGAUUGGGGAACCUGAAAAACCUGUAAUAGUUCCCCCAAAAAUUUCUGAUAAACAAGAAGGUCACCUGGAUCCAAAGCAUAAAAUGAAUUCAAAGGAGCCUUUGGGAGAAUUGUGCAGGAGGGUCCAGAUCCCUUGGCAGACACCAUCAGAAAUCAAACUGAACAGUCUCUGGAGAGUGGGCAUUGGUGAGAAUAGUAAAGAAGUUGAUGGUCAGAAAAACAGAAACCGUAGAGAGCUUGAAACCAUCUACAGGACAGCCCAGGAUAUACCAUCUAAUCCCAGGGAACCUUGGGACCGUGAGAUGGACUACGAUGACACAUUGACCCCAGAUAUCCCAAUUGAACAACCUCCUGAUGCUGAUGUUGCAGAAACACAGGUGUCACAUAAUGAAAAUACAGUAAACAACACAGUAGUUGCACAGGCACCCUCCUUGCCCCAAAUUAUUGGUGGGGGUGCUGCCGAGCCUGACCUUGAGUUGCUUGCUGUAUUGCUUAAAAAUCCGGAAUUGGUCAUUGCACUGACUUCUGGCCAAGCUGGUAAUUUAUCAACCGAGGAAACUGUGAAGCUGCUUGAUAUGAUCAAGAGGAAUGGGGCUGGUUUAGCAAGUUGUUUAAAUGGAUUUAGUGGAAAGAUAGAGGAGAGGGUUGAAGUUUCUCUUCCAUCGCCAACUCCCUCGAGCAAUUCUGGAACGAGUGGCUGGAGACCAGAAGAUGCCAAGAAUCCCUUUUCACAGCAAGGUUCAGGAGGGAACAGAAUUGCCUUUACCGAUCCGGGGGUUCCUACCUACAUUUCCACCGUAGAUAAGCUCACCGGCUUGGUGCAGUCUCAGAAUCAAGCAAGGAACAUUAGCAUGCCUCAACAGCAAGCAAGCCUGCAAUUACCACUCCAACACCAACAAGUAUAUGGAGCAAUUCCUCCCUUCUCGUGGCCUCAAACAACUUCCACUAUACCUGAGAACCGACAACCUUCUAUGGUUCUCCCGUCACAUCAGUCACUCCCUACUAAUUCUUCAAUAUUACAAACACCGGUUUCAGAAAUGGGCUUGGCCACGAAAAAUUUACCCGUUAUUAGCCCUAACUUACACAACUUCUCAGCCACAGCUGGGCCUUCAGUGCGGAUUGAAACUGUGAACAACGUUAAACCAGCUCCUAUUGUAUCUUUUGCAAUGAAUACUCCAGACAGACAAGCAGUUCCAUUUCCAAUGCCAAUAGCAACACCAACACCGGCUCAUUCACAUCCUCUCAUAUCCGAGCCAGCUCUUGUCCACUCUUCUAGGCCAUCUACAGGAAACAUGGGUUCAAUGCCCGAUUCCUGGAGAGGUAGGCAGGGAUUAGCUACCAGCUCGCCGUCUCAAGUUAAUCGAACCAAUUAUGAUGCAUCACUUAGGGGGCCUGUACAGCCUCACCUGCAGUCGGGUCCUCCCUGGGAAAGAAAUGAAUAUGCUGGUGAUGAGGGUUUUGAGUCUUGGAGUCCGGAGAAUAGUCCUGUUAGAUCACCGGAGUACAUGCAUGGAAGAAAUUAUCAGGGAUCCAGAAUGAAUCCAAGGUGGAAUUAUACUCCUGAUAAUAGGUCCAGGCAACGGAAUUAUUCUGGGAACCGGGACAAUAACCGGAACGGGAACGGAAACAGAAGGUGGCGUUAAAGGGAAAUGUAUGAGGAUGGGAUUGAAAUUUUAGGCGUGAGAAUUGGGGUUUGGAACAAAGAGAGAGAGAAGAAGAGGUUGACAUUCCGCUGUAAUUGCAAUUGUUGGGAUGUGGACAUCUCUUCCCAUUGAUAUUGAGUUUUGACUAAAAGCAUCCAAUAGUCACGAAUUGAUGCCGUCUUUUCAUUUAUGUAUUCUCUUUUUAACCCUUCCUGUAUCUGUGUUGAGUGUGCUCGGUGGGCCCGUGUCCAAUCAAGAACUAGGCAGGAAAUCGC
rnacentral:misc_RNA from 1 species